UUAUGGCCAUAUCACUUUGAAACACCAGUUCACGUAUGAUCACCUAAGUUAAGCAGCGUUGAGCCUUGGCUAGUACCUAGAUGUGUGACCACUUGGGAACAUCAAGUGCUGUAA